rnacentral:rRNA from 1 species
GAUGAACGCUAGCGGGAGGCUUAACACAUGCAAGUCGAGGGGCAGCAUAGGGUAGCAAUACUCUGAUGGCGACCGGCAAACGGGUGAGUAACGCGUAUGCAACCUACCCUGUACAGGGGGAUAACCCGGAGAAAUUCGGACUAAUAUCCCGUAAUAAUAUCCGGAGGCAUCUUUGGAUAUUUAAAGUUCCGACGGUACGGGAUGGGCAUGCGUAACAUUAACUGGUUGGUAAGGUAACGGCUUACCAAGGCUAUGAUGUUUAGGGGUCCUGAGAGGGUGGUCCCCCACACUGGUACUGAGACACGGACCAGACUCCUACGGGAGGCAGCAGUGAGGAAUAUUGGUCAAUGAGCGCAAGCCUGAACCAGCCAUCCCGCGUGCAGGAAGACGGCCCUAUGGGUUGUAAACUGCUUUUCCAGGGAGAGAAACUUACGCACGUGUUGCGUGACUGACGGUACCCUGGGAAUAAGCAUCGGCUAACUCCGUGCCAGCAGCCGCGGUAAACCGAGAGUA